UCCUGACGUUAUUCAUUGGAGAAAACACUAAACCUGUUAACUCAUUUGGAGAGAGCCAGAGACCGCGAGCAUAGCAGUAUUUACUCAUUACCCUCAACGUAGGAACAAGUGCCAAGUCAGCUGUAGUUUUUUCCCCCAUUUUCCUCCUUUCGUGUGUCCAGGUCGACCCAGACAGUCAAGAGAUUGUCCAGCACAAAACAUCAAGAUGUCGUUAACAUUGACAAGCGAUUUGGUGGCACAGUACCAGGAGCAAGUGGAGAGUGAGGCAAGCUCUAACUUAGCCAUGAAUGCCUGCUGGAAGUCAGACCCCCUGGAUAUGUGCCUCCGCCGCAACAAGGUCAUGGAGUGCAAUCACAUCUUUACACA